rnacentral:rRNA from 1 species
UACGGAGGGGGCGAGCGUUGUCCGAAGUUACUGGGCGUAAAGCGCGUGUAGGCGGGUUGCCAAGUCCGCUGUGAAAGCCCGAGGCUCAACCUCGGAGGGUCGGUGGAUACUGGCAGUCUUGAAGUGGCUAGGGGGAGAUGGAAUUACCGGUGUAGCGGUGAAAUGCGUAGAGAUCGGUAGGAACACCAGUGGCGAAGGCGGUCUCCUGGGGCUAACUUGACGCUGAGACGCGAAAGCUGGGGGAGCGAACGGG